AAUUGUCCAUUCAUAAUUGUCCAUCCAUAUUAGUACAAAGCCCAAAUACCAAGUCCAUAGCCAUAUGUCUCCUAGACAAAAAGAAAAAGUUAAAUUAAAAACAAAAAGAAAAGAUGAAAACUGAUUUCUUCAUCUUCAUCUCCCUCAUUCUUCUCCGUCUGAUUCAAAGCACAAGAACCAAGAUACUCAACACCUCCCUCUCCUCUCUUCUUCUUCGUCUGAUUCACAACACACACAAACCAAGAUCUUCAACACAAAAAAAAAUUCAGCUUUGACAAUAGAUAAUUGAAUUUCAGAUAUUAGGGGAAAAAAUUUCAAAAGCUAAACUCACACCUCACACAUCCACCAUUAGAUUUCUGACCAAAAAUCCUCAUAAAAAUACUGAACUCUACUCACCAUAUUACUCAAGCAAACAAUCUCAAAAGACUCAGAUUUCGUAGACGAGGAAUAUCAAGAGUGCUAAUCUGUUCGUGAACUUAACUUUUGGGCACGCAUCACGAGGUGCGUGAUCGAUCCGGGGAACAAAAGGGAGAUCAUUUAGAGUUGUCAUCCACUUAGCAUAUGAUUAGCUUCCGCUGGAACUCUGAAACACUUAAUCAAUUAGUAAUGUUUAAUGAACAAUUCACUUGGUUGUAAAGAUUAAUGAAUUUGAGUUUAGUUUGUUUUUUCAUUUUAGCCUUGCAUUUAUUUCCAAGGAGAUAAGUGCGGCGGUAGCGCCACCCGUCGAGUCGAACCCUCAUGGAUUUUAUUUUCCCCCAAAUCGCGAGUUUUAUAUAUCGAAUAAAGAAGGGUUCGGGUGGGCGGGGGUGUUACAGUAGUGUCCUUAUUCUUUUUGAUAACUCAAGUAGGCGGAAGGUUGUGUGGGAUCUUGGGGGUAUGCAUACUAAGGUGAUGGAUGUAGUACGGAACGGAAUCGUAUUUGCAUUUCAUCUAAUAGACCAAGUUGUCUAUUAAGGAUUAAGUAUCCCAUAUGAUUCUUGUAAGAUGACGGUGCCCGUUCGCUGCCAACUAAACUAUAAAAGGAAUAAAUGUAAUAUUGUCGUAGUAUCAUGUCAGAGAUUGAUUCUUAUUUUUUUGAUUAUGCUUAGUAUAUUAUCUCAAUAUUUUAGUACA